UCACUUCAGCAGUAUAUAUACUAAAAUUGGAACGAUAGAGAAAUGAUUGGCAUGGCCCCUGCGCAAAGAUGAGAUGCCAUGAUUUUGUUUGUAUGUAUAUUUAU
rnacentral:snRNA from 1 species